UAUCAGAAGUGCGAAUGCUGACAUAAGUAACGAUAAAGCGGGUGAAAAGCCCGCUCGCCGGAAGACCAAGGGUUCCUGUCCAACGUUAAUCGGGGCAGGGUGAGUCGACCCCUAAGGCGAGGCCGAAAGGCGUAGUCGAUGGGAAACAGGUUAAUAUUCCUGUACUUGGUGUUACUGCGAAGGGGGGACGGAGAAGGCUAUGUUGGCCGGGCGACGGUUGUCCCGGUUUAAGCGUGUAGGCUGAUUUUCCAGGUAAAUCCGGAAAAUCAAGGCUGAGGCGUGAUGACGAGGCACUACGGUGCUGAAGCAACAAAUGCCCUGCUUCCAGGAAAAGCCUCUAAGCAUCAGGUAACAUCAAAUCGUACCCCAAACCGACACAGGUGGUCAGGUAGAGAAUACCAAGGCGCUUGAGAGAACUCGGGUGAAGGAACUAGGCAAAAUGGUGCCGUAACUUCGGGAGAAGGCACGCUGAUACGUAGGUGAAGUCCCUUGCGGAUGGAGCUGAAAUCAGUCGAAGAUACCAGCUGGCUGCAACUGUUUAUUAAAAACACAGCACUGUGCAAACACGAAAGUGGACGUAUACGGUGUGACGCCUGCCCGGUGCCGGAAGGUUAAUUGAUGGGGUUAGCGGUAACGCGAAGCUCUUGAUCGAAGCCCCGGUAAACGGCGGCCGUAACUAUAACGGUCCUAAGGUAGCGAAAUUCCUUGUCGGGUAAGUUCCGACCUGCACGAAUGGCGUAAUGAUGGCCAGGCUGUCUCCACCCGAGACUCAGUGAAAUUGAACUCGCUGUGAAGAUGCAGUGUACCCGCGGCAAGACGGAAAGACCCCGUGAACCUUUACUAUAGCUUGACACUGAACAUUGAGCCUUGAUGUGUAGGAUAGGUGGGAGGCUUUGAAGUGUGGACGCCAGUCUGCAUGGAGCCGACCUUGAAAUACCACCCUUUAAUGUUUGAUGUUCUAACGUUGGCCCCUAAUCGGGGUUGCGGACAGUGUCUGGUGGGUAGUUUGACUGGGGCGGUCUCCUCCUAAAGAGUAACGGAGGAGCACGAAGGUUGGCUAAUCCUGGUCGGACAUCAGGAGGUUAGUGCAAUGGCAUAAGCCAGCUUGACUGCGAGCGUGACGGCGCGAGCAGGUGCGAAAGCAGGUCAUAGUGAUCCGGUGGUUCUGAAUGGAAGGGCCAUCGCUCAACGGAUAAAAGGUACUCCGGGGAUAACAGGCUGAUACCGCCCAAGAGUUCAUAUCGACGGCGGUGUUUGGCACCUCGAUGUCGGCUCAUCACAUCCUGGGGCUGAAGUAGGUCCCAAGGGUAUGGCUGUUCGCCAUUUAAAGUGGUACGCGAGCUGGGUUUAGAACGUCGUGAGACAGUUCGGUCCCUAUCUGCCGUGGGCGCUGGAGAACUGAGGGGGGCUGCUCCUAGUACGAGAGGACCGGAGUGGACGCAUCACUGGUGUUCGGGUUGUCAUGCCAAUGGCACUGCCCGGUAGCUAAAUGCGGAAGAGAUAAGUGCUGAAAGCAUCUAAGCACGAAACUUGCCCCGAGAUGAGUUCUCCCUGACUCCUUGAGAGUCCUGAAGGAACGUUGAAGACGACGACGUUGAUAGGCCGGGUGUGUAAGCGCAGCGAUGCGUUGAGCUAACCGGUACUAAUGAACCGUGAGGCUUAACCUU
rnacentral:rRNA from 1 species